rnacentral:rRNA from 1 species
AGUGAACGCUGGCGGUAGGCCUAACACAUGCCAGUCGAACGGCAGCACAGUAAGAGCUUGCUCUUGCGGGUGGCGAGUGGCGGACGGGUGAGGAAUACAUCGGAAUCUACUUUUUCGUGGGGGAUAACGUAGGGAAACUUACGCUAAUACCGCAUACGACCUACGGGUGAAAGCAGGGGAUCUUCGGACCUUGCGCGAUUGAAUGAGCCGAUGUCGGAUUAGCUAGUUGGCGGGGUAAAGGCCCACCAAGGCGACGAUCCGUAGCUGGUCUGAGAGGAUGAUCAGCCACACUGGAACUGAGACACGGUCCAGACUCCUACGGGAGGCAGCAGUGGGGAAUAUUGGACAAUGGGCGCAAGCCUGAUCCAGCCAUACCGCGUGGGUGAAGAAGGCCUUCGGGUUGUAAAGCCCUUUUGUUGGGAAAGAAAGGCAGCAGGUUAAUACCCCGCUGUUCUGACGGUACCCAAAGAAUAAGCACCGGCUAACUUCGUG